rnacentral:rRNA from 1 species
CAGUCGCCGCGGUAAUACGGAGGGUGCAAGCGUUAAUCGGAAUUACUGGGCGUAAAGCGCACGCAGGCGGUCUGUCAAGUCGGAUGUGAAAUCCCCGGGCUCAACCUGGGAACUGCAUCCAAAACUGGCGAGCUAGAGUAGGGCAGAGGGUGGUGGAAUUUCCUGUGUAGCGGUGAAAUGCGUAGAUAUAGGAAGGAACACCAGUGGCGAAGGCGACCACCUGGGCUCAUACUGACACUGAGGUGCGAAAGCGUGGGGAGCAAACAGGAUUAGAUACCCCAGUAGUCCCUGUCUCUUAUAU